rnacentral:rRNA from 1 species
UACGUAGGGGGCAAGCGUUGUCCGGAAUCAUUGGGCGUAAAGCGCGUGUAGGCGGCUCGGUAAGUCCGCUCUGAAAGCCCGGGGCUCAACCCCGGGAGGCGGGUGGAUACUGCUGAGCUCGAGUCCGGAAGAGGAGUGUGGAAUUCCUGGUGUAGCGGUGAAAUGCGCAGAUAUCAGGAGGAACACCGGUGGCGAAGGCGGGUCUCUGGGCCGAUACUGACGCUGAGGAGCGAAAGCGUGGGGAGCGAACAGG